GGCUCAUUCACACAUCUCUACUAAAACACUAAAUUUUGUUACCAUAUUAUUGUCUUAUAACACUAUCAUUAAGUGUUGCUAAAAUGGCUUCAAGUUCAGGUUGGACAACAAAGCAGAACAAAAGAUUUGAGAAUGCUUUGGCUAUCUAUGACAAGGACACCCCGGAUCGGUGGCAGAAGAUUGCGAGGGCUGUCGGAGGGAAGACGGUUGAGGAAGUUAAAAGGCAUUAUGAGAUGCUAGUUGAAGAUUUGAAGCAGAUUGAACAAGGUCAUGUUCCAUUACCUAAAUACAGAAAUGCUCCAACAAUAGGAGGUAGCAUUAAAGGUUACACUUACAAUGAUGAAGAACAAAGGUUGAAGUUUCUAAGCCUUCAGUGAAGUAAGCAGACCAAAUCGUUGGGUGGAAAAGAGUACCAAUCAAGUUAAUUAAGUGAAGACCAAAACAUAUGCAUCUAGCUUGGUUCUAUAAGAACCAAAAGUCUAAUGUUUUUAUAUCAUCAAAAUAAAAACUAAUUAAUCUAAUGUUUUUAUAUAGGUACUCUACUAUUAUCAUGCUAUAUGUAACAUUAAAAUGUGUAAAUCAAUUAUCUUAAUCAAGGACAUGCCCAUCACUUAAUCAUUCAUGAUGUGCUAAAGCAUGGUCAUUGACUA